rnacentral:rRNA from 1 species
GCGUUAAGUUGCAGGGUAUAGACCCGAAACCCGGUGAUCUAGCCAUGGGCAGGUUGAAGGUUGGGUAACACUAACUGGAGGACCGAACCGACUAAUGUUGAAAAAUUAGCGGAUGACCUGUGGCUGGGGGUGAAAGGCCAAUCAAACCGGGAGAUAGCUGGUUCUCCCCGAAAGCUAUUUAGGUAGCGCCUCGUGAAUUCAUCUCCGGGGGUAGAGCACUGUUUCGGCUAGGGGGCCAUCCCGGCUUACCAACCCGAUGCAAACUGCGAAUACCGGAGAAUGUUAUCACGGGAGACACACGGCGGGUGCUAACGUCCGUCGUGAAGAGGGAAACAACCCAGACCGCCAGCUAAGGUCCCAAAGUCAUGGUUAAGUGGGAAACGAUGUGGGAAGGCCCAGACAGCCAGGAUGUUGGCUUAGAAGCAGCCAUCAUUUAAAGAAAGCGUAAUAGCUCACUGGUCGAGUCGGCCUGCGCGGAAGAUGUAACGGGGCUAAACCAUGCACCGAAGCUGCGGCAGCGACGCUGAUGCGUUGUUGGGUAGGGGAGCGUUCUGUAAGCCUGUGAAGGUGGCCUGUGAGGGUUGCUGGAGGUAUCAGAAGUGCGAAUGCUGACAUAAGUAACGAUAAAGCGGGUGAAAAGCCCGCUCGCCGGAAGACCAAGGGUUCCUGUCCAACGUUAAUCGGGGCAGGGUGAGUCGACCCCUAAGGCGAGGCCGAAAGGCGUAGUCGAUGGGAAACGGGUUAAUAUUCCCGUACUUGGUGUUACUGCGAAGGGGGGACGGAGAAGGCUAUGUUGGCCGGGCGACGGUUGUCCCGGUUUAAGCGUGUAGGUGUGUGUUCCAGGUAAAUCCGGUUCACUUUAACACUGAGGCGUGAUGACGAGGCACUACGGUGCUGAAGCAACAAAUGCCCUGCUUCCAGGAAAAGCCUCUAAGCAUCAGGUAACAUCAAAUCGUACCCCAAACCGACACAGGUGGUCAGGUAGAGAAUACCAAGGCGCUUGAGAGAACUCGGGUGAAGGAACUAGGCAAAAUGGUGCCGUAACUUCGGGAGAAGGCACGCUGACAUGUAGGUGAAGUGAUUUACUCAUGGAGCUGAAGUCAGUCGAAGAUACCAGCUGGCUGCAACUGUUUAUUAAAAACACAGCACUGUGCAAACACGAAAGUGGACGUAUACGGUGUGACGCCUGCCCGGUGCCGGAAGGUUAAUUGAUGGGGUCAGCGCAAGCGAAGCUCCUGAUCGAAGCCCCGGUAAACGGCGGCCGUAACUAUAACGGUCCUAAGGUAGCGAAAUUCCUUGUCGGGUAAGUUCCGACCUGCACGAAUGGCGUAAUGAUGGCCAGGCUGUCUCCACCCGAGACUCAGUGAAAUUGAACUCGCUGUGAAGAUGCAGUGUACCCGCGGCAAGACGGAAAGACCCCGUGAACCUUUACUAUAGCUUGACACUGAACAUUGAGCCUUGAUGUGUAGGAUAGGUGGGAGGCUUUGAAGUGUGGACGCCAGUCUGCAUGGAGCCGACCUUGAAAUACCACCCUUUAAUGUUUGAUGUUCUAACGUGGACCCGUAAUCCGGGUUGCGGACAGUGUCUGGUGGGUAGUUUGACUGGGGCGGUCUCCUCCUAAAGAGUAACGGAGGAGCACGAAGGUUGGCUAAUCCUGGUCGGACAUCAGGAGGUUAGUGCAAUGGCAUAAGCCAGCUUGACUGCGAGCGUGACGGCGCGAGCAGGUGCGAAAGCAGGUCAUAGUGAUCCGGUGGUUCUGAAUGGAAGGGCCAUCGCUCAACGGAUAAAAGGUACUCCGGGGAUAACAGGCUGAUACCGCCCAAGAGUUCAUAUCGACGGCGGUGUUUGGCACCUCGAUGUCGGCUCAUCACAUCCUGGGGCUGAAGUAGGUCCCAAGGGUAUGGCUGUUCGCCAUUUAAAGUGGUACGCGAGCUGGGUUUAGAACGUCGUGAGACAGUUCGGUCCCUAUCUGCCGUGGGCGCUGGAGAACUGAGGGGGGCUGCUCCUAGUACGAGAGGACCGGAGUGGACGCAUCACUGGUGUUCGGGUUGUCAUGCCAAUGGCACUGCCCGGUAGCUAAAUGCGGAAGAGAUAAGUGCUGAAAGCAUCUAAGCACGAAACUUGCCCCGAGAUGAGUUCU